UGCCAGAAGCAUCUUCUACUUUUUCUUUUCCUCUUCGUUUUUCUCUCAGUCGUUCCGUUUCUCUUUAGUUUUCCCGUCUGCCUUUUGAUUUCGGUUCCAAUCGGAUCUUCUCGAAGGUGUUUGGCGUUUUUUCCCCUGUUUUGCACAAACGCAUCGCUCCCGUUCAGGAAACAUUGUUCUUCAAGUUUUAGGGUUUUAUUCUUCCUAGCUUUUUCUGGGUCAGAAAUUACAUUUGAAGCCUGCGAAGACCUUUGUGUUUAAGGUUAUGUAGCUGAAGUGGCUAAAGCUAAGAAAGAACAAUUGUGGGUUAAAAUCUUCAUAUUUGAAAGUUGGAUAUCAGCCUUUGAAAGGCUUUGUGAACGUGUUCUCGCGUGUGCAGCAGACCUUCAUAGCAAUUUGGGGAAAUUUUGGCUUUGUCAUCACAUCACUCUUGAUACUCUGUGUGGCCAUCAAAGGGUUUACAAACAACCACACGAUUAUUGAAAACGGCCUUUUGUCUAAGGAAAAUGAAGGAAGAUAUAUAUAUCAGCAGCAAGGGUGUGGAAGCUCACACGCUCAGAUUUCAACGCGUUUCGAAGGUGGAAAUGAGAAGAAUGUGCAGUGUGGACCUCCAAUUUCCAGUGCUAUGAUGCAUGAGGACUGCCAAAGUGAGAAUACUGGUUAGUUGUCAUCAAGCAGCCCUUGUAGAUGUGUAUUUUGUUUAUAUAUUGCUAGUUUAACCAUUAGUACGUUUGACUUGGGGAUACAAGCUUGUAUAUGUUAUAUUUUGUUGUAUAUAGAGAAUCCCGGGUAUGUCCAGCAUAGGAUAACAUGUAUUUUUUGGUUUAACAUUUGGAUGGGUUGUAUUGUUAGGUUGCAUGAAUCGGUCUUAGCCGAGAACAUGGGUUAUGUAAUAUAUUAACUUCACUAUUUUAGUGCUAAUGUUGAUUUAUGUUUAGUUUGUAA